rnacentral:rRNA from 1 species
UACGUAGGUGGCAAGCGUUGUCCGGAAUUAUUGGGCGUAAAGCGCGCGCAGGCGGUCUUUUAAGUCUGAUGUGAAAGCCCACGGCUCAACCGUGGAAGGUCAUUGGAAACUGAGAGACUUGAGUACAGAAGAGGAAAGCGGAAUUCCACGUGUAGCGGUGAAAUGCGUAGAGAUGUGGAGGAACACCAGUGGCGAAGGCGGCUUUCUGGACUGCAACUGACACUGAGAAACGAAAGCCAGGGUAGCAAACGGG